rnacentral:rRNA from 1 species
UACGGAGGGUGCGAGCGUUGUCCGGAAUCACUGGGCGUAAAGAGCUCGUAGGCGGUUUGUCGCGUCUGCUGUGAAAACUCGAGGCUCAACCUCGGGCUUGCAGUGGGUACGGGCAGACUAGAGUGCGGUAGGGGAGACUGGAAUUCCUGGUGUAGCGGUGAAAUGCGCAGAUAUCAGGAGGAACACCGGUGGCGAAGGCGGGUCUCUGGGCCGAUACUGACGCUGAGGAGCGAAAGCGUGGGGAGCGAACAGG